rnacentral:rRNA from 1 species
UACGCAGGGUGCAAACGUUGCUCGGAAUUAUUGGGCGUAAAGCGCACGUAGGCGGCUUGGCAAGUCGGAUGUGAAAGCCCUCGGCUCAACCAAGGAAGUGCAUCCGAAACUGCUGAGCUUGAGUACUUAAGAGGAUCGCGGAAUUCCCGGUGUAGAGGUGAAAUUCGUAGAUAUCGGGAGGAACACCAGUGGCGAAGGCGACACGCUGGGCCAUACCUGACGCUAAAGCGCGACAGCAUGGGGAGCAAACGGG